AGUGCCGGGUAAAUAGCAUCAUAAAGUCUUUGCUUUGUGUCCUCCCCUUUCCUUAAUCUUGGUUUACCCAGGUCAACCUCCGUGAAAUCAAGGGUCAUACAAUCAAUGCCGAUUUUGACCGUCUGCCUUCUAUUCUGAGUUAUUCUG
rnacentral:snRNA from 1 species